rnacentral:lncRNA from 1 species
AGAAUUAUACACUGAUUGUGAGCAGCCAGACCAAAACCUCUGAUGUGGCCAAGAACAAGGACUGGAAUAAAAUAUUGCUGGGAAUUUUUCAGUCAACUCAAUUCAGUGGAUAUUUAUUGAGCUCAUAUAACUCAUCAUGUUCAAGAAUGAAGAGAUCAAGAAUCCUCAACCACCAUCCUUCUGGAGAGCAAAUCUGUACAUUCUCAUAUUCAGAUUCAACCAAAAUGAGGCCAUAAGUGGAAAGAAAAAGUUGGGUGAGGUGGUGAAGACACAGUCCAGAGGAGUGUGACCUGGCCAAUUGGCUUCCCUUCUCAGGUAACGGGGAAAUUUCAGACUUGUGGGCAGAGGUGAAAAUUUCAGACUUGCGGCAGUGGUGACCAACAGCUGAAGUUUUUCUUCUUUUCCUUCACCCGUUCAUGUCCUGCGAGGCAGAAGGGAGUUCUGGAGGGAGCACACCCUCCAGUCUGGGAUUCAGCCCUCUCCUUUGCCAUAGUAUUUAUGAAUAUUAUCGGGGUCCUCACUAGGAACCCCGUUGCUGUGUGCAAACCGAUGGUGGACUCUAUUUUGGUUCUAAUCGUGAAAUAGCAACAAGUCUUUCCUCUCAUUAGCUUUCUGGCCUUCAUAUCAUCAGAUGUUGUGGGAAAUUAUGUGGAUAUAAAUCAAACCAUUUUCCUAAGAGCUGAGAGACACACGUGCAAGUGUUGCCAUGACUACCACUCCUCACCAGCAGCUGGGAGGGAAACUAGGGUACCACUUGAUGGUUCUUUUCUUUAUGAUGUUAAUAGUUUAACAUUCCUGUUUCAACUGAGUUAUUUUUCUUGGUUUCAUGUUUUGUUUUGUUUUGUUUUUACUUUCUUGAACUAAUAUCAUUUGUAUUAAUUCAUGAGCUAUGGUCUUUGAACUUUAAGGUGAAUGUAUGCACAGUUUUUGUAUAUAAAUGAAUAUGUUAAUUGUGGUAGAUUAAGUAUCAGAAGCUUUCAUGAUAUUUUCAAAGAGGUCUGUGCUGCAAAACAUGGGUUAAGUAUUAUUAACCUUGCUAAUAAAGGUGUCACUCAUACAGUCAACUUUAGGGUUUUAGCCUUAAGCCAUUAGGGCACCAUCUGACCCACAGAUUAAUGAGAUAUAAUAAAAGCUGGGACAACUACCCAGUUUGCCUAGGAAAUUGCUCCAGCUCUAUCACUCAAUUAGUUUAUUUCCUCCUUUCUUUAAUAGUCUAGAAUCCUUUGGCUUAAAACCUGGAUACUCUUCUUAGGUAUAUUACCUUAUUAUUGAUAAGAUGUUUGAACAGUCUGUCAUUUUAAUUUGUACCUUCUUUGCACCAAAAUCAAAAGAGGGAAUGAAAAUUGAGAAACUGGUAACCUUUUCAGUCUUCUCAGUUAGGCUUCCUUGAUAUAACUUCCAAGCUCUGAAUCCAGAAUCACAGAUUUUAGGGUUCCAGCCCUCUUACUGCCUGGGAAAGAAAUUUUGACAUGUAAUACAAGUUUUGGGCGUUCUGAGAAUAAAAUGACUUUCCAGAUCUGUCUUCCUUCAUCUAAUUCGAGGACACCAUUCCAUUCACUCAUGCCACAUGGAGCAUGUUUCUUUCAACAUCUAACACACAAAUGGGUUACCUUUGUCUUUUUACUUGGAUUGACUGGAUUGGUCCCAGAAGCUACCCCAAACCUGGUUUGAACCUUCCUGUUGUCUGGUUUCCUAAAGAUGAACCUUUCUUUCCAAGGCUACUUGGACUAUAGGAAAAUUGUAUCUUGAUUCCUUCUAACCUUUGCUCUAUCCUCCCUCUUAAAAUGCUUCAUCAGAUCUGACAAUAGGUCUCUUUUUGACUUCCAGAUAUGUGACCCUUUAGCAAGUCACAGCUUUUUUUCUUGAUCUUCUCUUUGAAAGCAAUCCAAUGGAUAAGAGAACCUUAACAUAUUUAGAAAUUUAUUGUCUUUAGACCUUCUAAAAAUAAGCUUCUGUCAUUUAUUUAGGACCUCCCAAUCUUGUUUAAAAAAAAACUGCAAACACAAAAAUGCACAAUGUUGGAGUAAUAAUAAAGCUUCUUGUGAAGCUAGGAGGAAAAUGAAAAUGACUUUUUCAAGUACACUAGAAAAUCUUGGGUGAAAUUGGGUUGUAUAACUUAUUCCCCAGAGGAAAGUGGGUCCUGUAUCCCAUGUAAUGACUCUCUGAUCUCUGAAGGCUAAGCUAAAAGUAAUCUCUACUCAGAGUCUAGUCAUUACUCUGUCAUUUUGACUUUUUGGUCACUUUGAGCCUUAAUUUUUUUAUGAUUUUUUUGGAUCUCAUAAUUACUUAGCUGGCUCACUGUAGCUACUGUAACUUUUGCAACUUUUAAAUGUUCCUUGAUACAGAAACACAUAAGCAUAAAUAUUCUUAAACACAUAAACAACUUCAUACAGCCACUAAAAGACAACAAAAAAAGGGAAACAUUGCUAUCUUCUGAUGAUCUAAGCCGCUUAAGAGAAGUGAGCAGUUUUUUGAAGUUACAUUAAUGUUUUCAAGUUCCUAGGUUUCCAUUUAGGACAUUGAACCAAGAGUUAACAAUUUUGUAUUUAUAGGAAGCCAAAUAACCUGGAGAGAGAAGGAAAUAGAAUAAAGCAUAUGUCAGUGGUAACAUAAAUUAUCCUGAUGACAUGUUUUAACAGAAUGUUUACUUCAGAGCACCCUGUUUAGCCAAUUGAUUUUGAAGGUUGCCAACCAAAAUGGAUAAUUAGUAUCUAAUCAAGACAGCUAAAAUGAGUAGUUGGGUCCCAUCUUUGAGCAUGUAUCAUGUCCAAAAAAUGUUUUGAAUGAGUUUGACCUGCCUGACAGAUGUCAACUGGGACUGGGCCAUUUGUAAGGCUGCAUUAAGUAAAAAGAUAGCAAACUGCUUAGAACAAGAUGCUUCCAGAAUUCAGUCUGUGUCUCUGUAUGAGGACCUGAUAUUCUGGAACUGAGAUCAAAGAUUCCACUUACAGAAUAUGAAUUGACUUUACAGUUUUGAAGUAGCAUUUUUGGGGGUCUUUUUUAAAAAUUAAAGUAUUCUUGAUUUACAUUUUUUUUUUUUGUCUGCAACUGCAGCAUAUGCAAGUUCCCAGGCUAGGGGUCAAAUUAGAGCUGCAGGUCUACACCACAGCCAUGGCAACAUUGGAUCCAGGCGGCAUCUGCAGCCUAUGCCACUGAGUUAGCAGUUCUUGAUGAUCUUUUAAGGUAGUCUGUUCUUAUAGCAGAAGUCUUUUUCUUUUCCCGUUUCUUCCUUCUUCCCUCCCUUUCUCUUUCCCUCCCUCUCUCUCUCCUUUUUUUUUCUUUCUUUCUUUUUGUCACCUGUUGUUAACAUUUUUAUUGCCUCUAGUUAAUCUUCCUUUUUUUAUGUUCAGGAUAAGGUCUAAGUACCUGUUUUAAAGAUACCGUAUCAUAUUUACUCCAAUAGGAAUGUCUCCAGUAAGAUUGAGAAGGCAAACUGGGGAAAGAUUUUAGUAUAUUUUCAUGCUUCUAAUAAAUGAAAUCAUUUUACUCCCCAAAUUUACUUUUUCUUUAAUAAUCAAAAACAAUAUUGCUCAAAUCCAACAUCUCUUGGAGUUCAGUGCUUAGUUUUUUGUUGCAGUGGCAGGAGUCUUUCCCAUUAUGUGACUUUCUCCUUUCUCUUUUCAAAUAUCCUUGCUGAUCUAUUGCAUUUUUCUUUAGACCAUCCCACUUCCUAAUACUUCAAAACUGGAAAGUUACUUCACAUUUUUAGUAACUUGUGUUAAUUUUUAAAUAUUUUUUCUCAAACGUAUUUUAGCUGACAUAUAGUUCAUCAACUGAUUCUUUGCUAGCCCAGCUUCACCUCACUACACUUGUCAUGGUUUUCAUGUCUUUUUCUGUCUUCUUGGCUCAUGUUACUUCUUUUACUUUCUGUUCUUCUCCAACAAGAUAUAACCAUCUUUACCUCACACAGUUUCUAGCAUCUUCUUUUUUUUCCAGGGGAUUCCCAUAAGCUCUUUACACAUUAGCACUGUACUAAAGUUCGUUAUAUACCAUAGUUUCUUACUUAAGUAUCUAUGGUUCACAUGAUAGAGUGAUUUUAUUUAUAGCAAACAAUAGCUAAUUCUCCUCUAUAAUUCCAAUGGUUGGCACAGAGUAGAUUUCCAAAAUAUGCUGACUGAAUACAUUAACAUAAAAUUUAUUUUACUUCUUCAUUUAUUUAUUUGUGGGAUAAACACAGUGUUAGACUGCAUAUUGGCUUGUGAGAGCUAAAUGAUCCAUCAGCAGAUCUUAUGACUGUCUAUGUUCAAGCUCCUUCCAGAAACUUAUAGUAUGUCCCUAUUCCUCUAUGGUUCUUAGAAAUUUUUUUUCACCUUUUUUUCUCCUCCUGUCUUACCAGCACACCAUACUUUAUCCAAACUGGACUGGGGAGCAGGGAGGUGGGAGGUUAUUUGAGUUCCUUUCUCUCUUCACAAUUUAAGCCCAGAGGGAUGAUGAGUAAAAUGUUUAAUGAGAUAUUGGAAACGACUCAGACCCAUCCAUUUCAAUCAUGAUCUAAUCAUUUAGUGAGAGAAGGAAGAUGAAAGAAUAGUACUAAUGUAAUGUCUGCACCAAUAGAAUACUAAAGCUCUCCAAAGGCAAAAUAAAGGGGGAGGAUCCCAUCCCACUUGAGGCUAAGUUGCAUCCGCCACUGAGAUUCAGGCAAACACAGGGAAAUUUAAUGAGCUAAUAUAAUGGGUGGUCUGAAGACAUCUAUUCGCAUGAAUUUACAUGAUUAUCAUGGGACAGGUUGACUGCCAAAACAGAGGAAAGUGGGAUAAAAUGGAGAUGCAGAAGGCAGCAAGGUGCCUGUUGUAAGUAUUGUCCUCUAAUAACAUGUCAGGGACUCAUUUCUGAGAUUUAUGGAAGGAGAAACUUCAAGCAGGAUCCUGACCUUGAGACAAGGAGAGCUUUGUUGGCAGCAUACAGACAUCUGGAUAUAUAACAGUAGUAGGAAGAAGAAUAUUCCAACCCCCAAUCCGCACCCACCCCCAAAUAUAGUUGGUAAUAUCAGGAGAAUCAGGAGGCACAAGUAUUAGAAUCCUUUCAUUGCUUUCCAGGUAGUUAAUGCAACUGACAGAAUGGUUGUGAUACAUGUGACGCACUCUGAGCAUCAGUAAAAAUAAACAGGUGAAACUUCAUGGGGGAUGGUGCCUCUUAAGAUAUGAGUACAUAUGAAUCACAGGUAUCAACAUGAAUACACAUGCCUGAGAAGAGUGCCGGAAUAGAGGGAUGGAAAUAUUAAACCUGUUCAAAUUGGGUUAUCCUUUUUGUUUUUCUUACUCUUUUUGGUGCAUUAGAAAGAUUUUAACAUUCACAGAGACUCAGUUUUCUCCCAGUUCUAUUACUCUCAUCCCAGCACCAAAGUGCUGUCUUCACGUGGGGGAGCAUUUUAAAAUUAAGCCUCUAGUGUUGCCUUCAGGGAAGGACAAACAAGCUUUUUGGUAAUCAUUCUUGUCUGGUUAUGAUGUGCCAUCAAGAUCUACUAAGCAAGCAAAGAGAAAAAUUUAUUGACUAAGAGAUAGAGAUAGAAGGAUUAGGAAGGAAUAACAAAAGCAACUAGACAGAGAACUGUGGGUAGGAAAAGUAAAUGAAGAAGACAUCAACUCAGAAGCCUGCAAAGGUAUCUUGGAACAUUUGUCCAAGGAGCAAGGGUGGAGGUUGGGAAAGAGACCACUGCCCAUCAAUGCCAGGUCAGUAAACCUCAGGCCACUUUGAGGGGUACACUAGUUAGAAACUAUGAACAACAACAAUAGUAACCCUUUAUUUUUUCUCAUUGGGUUAUAGUUAGGCAGGUGGGCUCUGAUGAUCUGGGCUGGGUAUGACUGAUCCUAGGUAUGCUUGCUCAUAGGCCUGAAUUAGCUAUUAGGUUGGCUGGAGCAGGUCGAUCUGGAAGAGCCCUGGCUAGGCUAACUCCAAUGUGUCUCUGACAUCCUCCAUUAAGGUAGUGCUGGCAGACAGGAGAACAGAAUGUGCAAGUACUAUUUUCAAGUAUCUGUUUGAGUCAAACUUGUACUUCUCAUUGGCCAAGACAUGUCACAUGGUCAAGCCCAGUGUCACCAAGGGAGGGCACUAUCAAAGGCAUGAGUAUAGGAAUGUGGCAUUAUUCAGACUCCCAGGUGCCAUCUGGGAAGUUGACUCUGUUGCACAACAGAGAUCCUAUCACCACCUGCACUCAGGACCUGCACCAGGUCUUCUUACCCACCGCAGAAUAGACACAGCAAGAAGCUUGGCUUGGUUGCAUCUGUAUCUCACUUUUGCCCUCACCUUAUGAUUUGAAAGUUUUGAUUAUAAUAUUUUAAUUAAAUAGUUUAGUAGAAAGCUAAAAUGUACUGGUAAUGAUAUAAUCCUUCAGAUAAAUUUAAAAAACCUUAAUCUCAGUUUUGAAUAAUUAUAAAUCUUAGUUUCAUUAAUUUCUAGUUUUGGAACAAAACUGCUUACUUAAAGGUACUUGUCAUUCUUUCCAUUCAGAGUUUAAGCAUAAUAUUAACUAUCAUCUUGGGCUGACCUCACAUGAAUUUAAUAUUAACAGCAUGAAUUCAAUGCUGUACAAAUAUGUGCAACUGAUAUAUGCUAUCCUUUUAUUUUAUCCAG